GACGAACGCUGGCGGCGUGCUUAACACAUGCAGGUCGAACGGUGAAAGCGGAGCUUGCUCCGCUGGAUCAGUGGCGAACGGGCGAGUAACACGUGGGCAACCUGCCCCUCACUUCGGGAUAACUCCGGGAAACCGGGGCUAAUACCGGAUAUGACCUCCUUGGGCAUCCUUGGAGGUGGAAAGUUUUUCGGUGAGGGAUGGGCCCGCGGCCUAUCAGCUUGUUGGUGAGGUAGUGGCGCACCAAGGCGACGACGUGUAGCCGGCCUGGGAGGGCGACCGGCCAAACUGGGACUGAGACGCGGCCCAGACUCCGACGGGAGGCAGCAGUGGGGAAUAUUGCGCUAUGGGCGAAAGCCUGACGCAGCAACGCCGCGUGCGGGAUGACGGCCUUCGGGUUGUAAACCGCUUUCAGCAGGGAAGAAGCCGCAAGGUGACGGUACCUGCAGAAGAAGCACCGGCUAACUACGUGCCAGCCGCCGCCGUAA
rnacentral:rRNA from 1 species